GUCAGCGUUCCGAGACGUGCUCUUAGGACUGCAUAUAGGAGCUGCACUUGCAUGCCUGAGAGGCGUUUCGAAGAUAGCCGCCAAGUGACAUGACAAGGACUUUGAUACAGUUGAAACCUGUUAAUUUUAAUGAAGAUCCACCAAAAUGCCUGAAGUCAGAGGUAACUAAGCAUGAGCCCAAGAGCUACAGCACUGAGGAACAGCAAGAACCGGCAAUCAGCAACUACAGACAAUUCUGUACAUCUGUACUUUACAUCCAACAGGUCUCAAAACAACAUCUCAAAACUAAACACACCAAAACACCAUCAACCACUGCAGGAUAUCUCAAAUAGGCCUACACACUGCCAGUCUAUAUAUAAUAUGGUGCUGAAUGAUUAUUAAAUAAACGUUAGGAAAUUUAUAUGGCGCUUAAAUGUUUUUCAAAUGAUAACAUGUUAUACAAUAAAUAAAUAUAUAAAACACACCCUUCAAUAUAUCAAUAAUCAAAAUAACAUCCUUGAAAAAAAGGUAGUGUUACAGUACCGUGGUACAGUGAUGCUCUCAGGUGGUCAUAUAAAGCAUAGUUCAGAGCAUCCCAUGGUGAAUGUCCAUAAAAUUGGUAAAAGCAUGAUUUCCCAAAGCAGGGUUUGUUUUGUUCUAAAUGUGUGUUCAAAAUAAAAUAACUGCAC
ensembl:lncRNA